AACGAACGCUGGCGGCAUGCCUAACACAUGCAAGUCGAACGAAACCUUCGUGUCUAGGGGCGCACGAGUACGGAACGCGUGGUAACCUGCCCUUAGGUUCGGGAUAACACCCCGACAGGGAUCCUAAGACCGGUUAAGGUCUUCGUACCAAAGAUUUAUCGGCUUUGGUUGGGCCCGCGUUGGAUUAGCUAGUUGGUAAGGUAAAAGCCUACCAAGGCAACGAUCCAUAGCUGGUCUGAGAGGAUGAUCAGCCACCCUGGGACUGAGACACGGCCCGGACUCCUGCGGGAGGCAGCAGUGGGGAAUGUUGGACAAUGGGCGAAAGAAUGAUCCAGUCAUGCCGCGUGAGUGAUGAAGGACUUAGGGUUGUAAAGCUCUUUUAACAGGGCUGAUAAUGACAGUACCGGGAGAAUAAGCGCCGGCUAACUACGUG
rnacentral:rRNA from 1 species